rnacentral:rRNA from 1 species
UACAGAGGUCUCAAGCGUUGUUCGGAUUCAUUGGGCGUAAAGGGUGCGUAGGCGGCGAGGUAAGUCGGAUGUGAAAUCCCGGGGCUCAACCCUGGAACUGCAUUCGAUACUGCCUUGCUCGAGGACUCGAGAGGAGAUUGGAAUUCACGGUGUAGCAGUGAAAUGCGUAGAUAUCGUGAGGAAGACCAGUGGCGAAGGCGGAUCUCUGGAGAGUUCCUGACGUGAGGCACGAAGGCCGGGGAGCAAAGCGGG